AAAAAAGAUACUUCCAAUCACUUCCAUGUGUUUGUUGGGGAUUUGAGUCCAGAAAUUACAACAGAAGAUAUCAAAUCAGCAUUUGCCCCCUUUGGUAAAAUAUCCUGCCCAAACUCCAAAAUGAUGGUAGAGAAUUGACCAAGAAAAAUAAAGAAAUCUGUUAACAGGCCAUGGAUGCCCGGGUAGUUAAAGACAUGGCAACUGGAAAAUCCAAAGGCUAUGGUUUUGUAUCUUUUUAUAACAAACUGGAUGCAGAAAAUGCGAUUGUGCAUAUGGGCGGUCAGUGGUUGGGUGGUCGUCAAAUCCGAACCAAUUGGGCCACUCGUAAACCACCUG
rnacentral:lncRNA from 1 species